UAAUACGUAGGGUGCAAGCGUUACUCGGAUUUAUUGGGCGUAAAGCGCAUGUAGGUUGUUUCGUAAGUCUGAUGUGAAAUCCCUGGACUCAAUUCAGGAACUGCAUUGGAUACUGCGAGGCUAGAGUAUGGGAGAGGUAGGCGGAAUUCCUGGUGUAGAGGUGAAAUUCGUAGAUAUCAGGAGGAACAACAGAGGCGAAGGCGGCUUACUGGACCAUAACUGACACUCAGAUGCGACAGUGUGGGGAGCAAACAGG
rnacentral:rRNA from 1 species